ensembl:lncRNA
AUUAGAUUUAAAGGCAAUGUAAUGUGGGAUGUAUAGGAAUGAAAUUGUUAAUAUUGUACAUUUAGAAAACAAUAAAAAAAGAUUGACAUUUAAAAAACACACAAUUGGAAGUCAGGGCAAAUGAAGACCAACCGCCAUGUGAUAACUGACAUUGUUUCUAACAACGGUGGUAAACAUGAAAAAGAAUAGAAAACGUACAGCCAACAACACACUUUGCUCACAUGCAUACACCGUGGUAGUUCAGGAGUAGUUCGACUCUAUUACGGUUCCAUUGUGUGGUUCUAAUGGGUUCUGCAGAGUUCCACUGAGUAACAUUGUGUUCCAUUGAAUUCCAUUAAGCUCUAAUGUCUUUACCAGUUUGGAUUAUCUACUGGUGUGUGAACUAUUCUCUUCUCUUUCACACUCCUGGUUUCUGAAUUAUCCAGGAGCUGUCAAGAUCUGUACUCAUAGUCUCCGUUCCAAGUGCUGAUCUAGGACCAGUUUGAAUUGAGAAAAUAAGGCCCGAUCCUAGAUCGUCUCUGCAAGGCUUGAUGAUCACGGGCACUGGUCUGUCUUUACCUCAUUGGUCUGUCUUUACCCCAACUUUUUCGCUUCAUUUGUUAAUUUGUUUUUCCCUUCUCUUUUCAAAAUAUGUCCUUCAUUUUACUCCCUCCCUAUAGAUGUUUUAUUUUGGUUUUUUUUCUAUUUUAAUUUGUCGAGGGCCAAUGCAGCUGUUUUUAUGUCAGUAUCAAAUCAUUUCUGAACACCAAAUAAGUACCUUGGUGAUGUUUAUUUUAAUUGAAAUGGUCAAACAGACUUCCUAGCAAAGAGCACUUUAACUGAUGUCUAGGACUGUCAGGGAGUGGUCUGAGUGGGGAGGGGAAAACUGAAACUAGCUGUUAUUGGCGGAAUGGUUUGGAUUGUUUCCUUAUUGGUCAGUUUACUAAUUUAUCGGCUGCUGAUGUCAUCAGGCAGGCCAAAACACUAUACCACCAAAAAAAAACAAAAAAACACCCUGACAGCCUUUUCAAACCGCUCUUACACUUAAUGGGCAUUGUCAUCAAUUUCAAAGUAUUAUUUCACAUCCAUAGUCUGGAAAUGUAUAUCUAGAACUCAUGACACAUUUUUGGACUUGAAGGUCGAUGGUUGGUUUUAUCUACAUAAUUUUAUUGGAGAGCUUGCUAGGUUGAGAUGUCACCGUUUUGCUCUUUUAGGAUGAAUCAACUCUGAUUGCAAAGGUUUAUAUGACUGACCUAAUCUGUUUGGACAGAAUAUGGAAGUUUAGUCUUAUUAGUCGGCUAAAAAUGAGAUUCACUCAUUACCUUGGGGAGGUGGGAUUACAUCAGUUUUAUCAGUAUUCCUCUUGAUUUCAGUUUUUCCCCUUUCAUUAUAAAUGUAAUUUUUAUUUUCCCAGGUUCAGAGUUGCGGUACCCAUUCUCACCUAACCUGUAUUAAACUGUAUAGAUCGUGGAAAAAAAUAUGAAUGUCUGAAAGAUUACUUAAAAGUAAAGCUAUACGUUACAGAAAAAUUGUGAUUUAAAAUGUAUAAAAUAAAUUGAGAAACAAUGUUUUAGGGGACAAAUGUAAUAUUUUGUUUGUAAUUACUCUUUUUGUUGGCAGAGGGCUACUGGACAAAGAAUCCACUGUAAUAAAGUAAUUUUA